AAAAAAAGAACCUGCGUCGCAGAAGACACUGCUAUGUAUCUGAACUUGAUCGAUCAAACGUGGGAUUUUGUUCAUGCGCCGUGUAACAUAGCAAUACGAUACUACCGUACGUAUCCAUGCAUGCACGUUAGCCGAGUACUGGCGUUUGGACGACGACGCCGGUCGCUGCGUCUGAGACCACGACCACGCGCCAGGGGUGCGGGCCCGGCGGCCAUGGCCCUGUGCCGUGUAUGUAGGAGAUGAAGACGUCAGGCCUGUCCCUGCUGAUCUUGAGCGCUGCGUCGCGCUCCGGCCAGCCCACCACCUCCGGCCACGACGCCUUCGUGCUGCCGGGUGCGGCUCCAUUUUGCUCACCAUGUGGCUUAUUACUCAAUAGACUCCAGCCAAUAUCUCAGGAACUCUAAUGUGUGGCAAGGGACGAGAGAAUCAGACUACAUUUAUCGAGCUCAUAUCGCAGCAUAUAUAGGAAUAACUUUGACAUGUUCCACGGAGUCGGUGCUUUUAAUAAGUCUAACUCACAUGUCAUCUACCAACUAUUUCUCUUCUAUUUGUAUAUCUAUAUAUAUCCAUCGAAUUGCUACUCAUUUCAAUAUAUGACCCCUCGUAAUUGUUCAGCAUUUCGGCUACGUGCUUCUUUAAGCUCUCUGAUUCUAGUGUAAAUUAUUGUUGGAAGAGACUACUAGACCAUGAUGACAUUUUCCCCAGUUUACAAGUUAUACGGAAUGAGUGACCUUGGGAAAACAUGUACUAUAAACUGGUGCGUGUUGAAGAUCAAGCUCGGCGUGUAAUGAGACAGUGACCAGUUAAGUUGAACAACGUGAAGACUGAUGAUGCGUUCAAUUUUGCACAUUGAACACGUAAAAGCGACCACGUGGACUGGUGGUUCGGAUCUCCAACGAGUCAAGACCAGAGUGAGUACUUGGAGAUGACAGGUUAAGAUUAAAGGAAGAUUGUUGGCAAUAAUCUUGCCUUAGUAGAGUACAUGGUCACGUGUGUAGUUGUCAAACAUUAACUAGUACUACUAGUCUUAAUGAAUUACGAGUAGUACCGAUUGGGUUGUGUCAAGGACGUGUGUGCAAUGAAUUAGGCGUAGUACCGAUUGGGUUGUGUCAAGGACGUGUGUGCAAGUGCCUAGUUAGAUUAGGUGUCGAGGUGGAUUCAAAGAUGAGUUCCAAAUAGAGUAGGUUUGGGUUGUUGGGUCGGUGUGUUUUUGAUAUCAAGUGAGGAAAAAAAUCAAUGGAGAUGAAGAAUAAGGGGCACAAAACCGUGUCCCUGAUCAAAGUUUCGCGUGUGUCUGUAUUCAUCAUGAUUUGAUGUAAUCAAUCAUGUGACGGAUUCCAAUAGGUGCGUGCUGACUUCAAAAUUGUCACCCCAUACUCUCUUUUGUUUCUCUGUUCGACCUGAGCCCUUCUCGACUAGACCCACAACACAGGGCUCCGCCGCCGGCACCCUGUCGCCCGAUGAUUGAGGAGAAGACCUCACAAAGCAUCGCGGUCAGCCGAAGGACAGCGUGUGUUCCAUGAUGGAGGACAGAGAGGAUUCAUAAUUAAUUACAAUAAAUAAUCCUUGACAUGAAUAAAAGUAGCAUGCAACAAUCUAGCACACUAGAUGAAGAGAAAAACACGCACAACAACAUCGACAUCUAUCAGCAACUAUAGGUAGAUACAUGAACUUAUUUGUUAUACGUAUUAUUCGCUAGCUACUACAGGAGCAUCACUGUUGAUGACAACAUUGACGACGAUCUGUUGCUUACUAUGAUGGAGAUGACAAUGAGUACCAAUCCCGACUUGGAUGACAGAUGAGAUGUGAUGAAAAACUUGAGCACUCUUUCAUAGCGCUUCCAAAAAUCAUAAUUCGCCCUCUUCCGAGGCAGGAUCGCAAGGUCGAAUGGUUUUAGGGGCUUGCUUUUUUGCACCAUGUUACCCGCUAGCAUUCCUAAUAUAGUAGACUAUGGUGGCGGCACAAGUUGCGACACAAGGAAAACCCUAGGUCUUUUUCGAUGUGUCUAUGGCCGCGGUCCACAAGUUGCAAAAUAAGACAAAAGUUAGUAUUCGUGUCGUGAUCAUGAUCUCAAUCCAAUUUGAGUAGUAUACUUACCGGACAAGUAUUGAAGACUUCAAAAAGUAAAACGGUAAGAAAAUGUGCACCCCUACAAGGCAAAGGAUUGGAUAUCGGCGAACCAUUCACGUGCAUGUCGUAUGCAUGCGCCGCCCCGGCCCUGAUGCAAGUCCAGUCGGGCCAGGCGAGCAAGCGCCGGUGGUGUCCUAUUUUUCCCUUUAACACACCACUUUGAGUGGUUGAGAAAACCCACUAUAUGAAGACGUUCAAUACUUUCUUAAUUAGUGAUAUAAGACUAAAUUUUAGCACCAUCACUGACCAUUUUACU
rnacentral:lncRNA from 1 species